GGCGGAUUUCCCAAGCGGUCAAAGGGAGCUGACUGUAAAUCAGCCGCUUAUAGCUUCAGUGGUUCGAAUCCACUAUCCGCCA
rfam:Bifidobacterium bohemicum DSM 22767 Contig5, whole genome shotgun sequence.